rnacentral:rRNA from 1 species
UUGAACGCUGGCGGCAGGCCUAACACAUGCAAGUCGAACGGUAACAGGAAGAAGCUUGCUUCUUUGCUGACGAGUGGCGGACGGGUGAGUAAUGUCUGGGAAACUGCCUGAUGGAGGGGGAUAACUACUGGAAACGGUAGCUAAUACCGCAUAACGUCGCAAGACCAAAGAGGGGGACCUUCGGGCCUCUUGCCAUCGGAUGUGCCCAGAUGGGAUUAGCUUGUUGGUGGGGUAACGGCUCACCAAGGCGACGAUCCCUAGCUGGUCUGAGAGGAUGACCAGCCACACUGGAACUGAGACACGGUCCAGACUCCUACGGGAGGCAGCAGUGGGGAAUAUUGCACAAUGGGCGCAAGCCUGAUGCAGCCAUGCCGCGUGUAUGAAGAAGGCCUUCGGGUUGUAAAGUACUUUCAGCGGGGAGGAAGGGAGUAAAGUUAAUACCUUUGCUCAUUGACGUUACCCGCAGAAGAAGCACCGGCUAACUCCGUGCCAGCAGCCGCGGUAAUACGGAGGGUGCAAGCGUUAAUCGGAAUUACUGGGCGUAAAGCGCACGCAGGCGGUUUGUUAAGUCAGAUGUGAAAUCCCCGGGCUCAACCUGGGAACUGCAUCUGAUACUGGCAAGCUUGAGUCUCGUAGAGGGGGUAGAAUUCCAGGUGUAGCGGUGAAAUGCGUAGAGAUCUGGAGGAAUACCGGUGGCGAAGGCGGCCCCCUGGACGAAGACUGACGCUCAGGUGCGAAAGCGGGGGGAACAAACAGGAUUUGAUAACCUGGUAGUCCACGCCGUAAACGAUGUCGACUUGGAGGUUGUGCCCUUGAGGCGUGGCUUCCGGAGCUAACGCGUUAAGUCGACCGCCUGGGGAGUACGGCCGCAAGGUUAAAACUCAAAUGAAUUGACGGGGGCCCGCACAAGCGGUGGAGCAUGUGGUUUAAUUCGAUGCAACGCGAAGAACCUUACCUGGUCUUGACAUCCACAGAACUUUCCAGAGAUGGAUUGGUGCCUUCGGGAACUGUGAGACAGGUGCUGCAUGGCUGUCGUCAGCUCGUGUUGUGAAAUGUUGGGUUAAGUCCCGCAACGAGCGCAACCCUUAUCCUUUGUUGCCAGCGGUCCGGCCGGGAACUCAAAGGAGACUGCCAGUGAUAAACUGGAGGAAGGUGGGGAUGACGUCAAGUCAUCAUGGCCCUUACGACCAGGGCUACACACGUGCUACAAUGGCGCAUACAAAGAGAAGCGACCUCGCGAGAGCAAGCGGACCUCAUAAAGUGCGUCGUAGUCCGGAUUGGAGUCUGCAACUCGACUCCAUGAAGUCGGAAUCGCUAGUAAUCGUGGAUCAGAAUGCCACGGUGAAUACGUUCCCGGGCCUUGUACACACCGCCCGUCACACCAUGGGAGUGGGUUGCAAAAGAAGUAGGUAGCUUAACCUUCGGGAGGGCGCUUACCACUUUGUGAUUCAUGACUGGGGUG